GUUCCUUGGAACAGGACAUCACAGAGGGUGAGAAUCCCGUACGUGGUCGCCUGCCCUUGCCGUGUAAAGCUCCUUCGACGAGUCGAGUUGUUUGGGAAUGCAGCUCUAAAUGGGAGGUAAAUUUCUUCUAAAGCUAAAUACUGGCCAGAGACCGAUAGCGCACAAGUAGAGUGAUCGAAAGAUGAAAAGUACUUUGGAAAGAGAGUCAAAAAGCACGUGAAAUUGUUGAAAGGGAAGCGCUUGCAGCCAGACUUGCCCGCAGUUGCUCACCUAGGCUUUCGCCUGGGGCACUCUUCUGCGGGCAGGCCAGCAUCAGUUUGGGCGGUUGGAUAAAGGCCUCUGUCACGUAUCUCCCUUCGGGGUGACCUUAUAGGGGAGGCGCAAUGCAACCAGCCCGGACUGAGGUCCGCGCAUCUGCUAGGAUGCUGGCGUAAUGGCUGUAAGCGGCCCGUCUUGAAACACGGACCAAGGAGUCUAACAUCUAUGCGAGUGUUUGGGUGUCAAGCCCGAGCGCGCAAUGAAAGUGAACGGAGGUGGGAACCCUUUGGGUGCACCAUCGACCGAUCCUGAUGUCUUCGGAUGGAUUUGAGUAAGAGCAUAGCUGUUGGGACCCGAAAGAUGGUGAACUAUGCUUGAAUAGGGUGAAGCCAGAGGAAACUCUGGUGGAGGCUCGCAGCGGUUCUGACGUGCAAAUCGAUCGUCAAAUUUGGGCAUAGGGGCGAAAGACUAAUCGAA
rnacentral:rRNA from 1 species